rnacentral:lncRNA from 13 species
GUCUUUCAGUUUUUCUUGCACAUGACAUACAUGCAGUCUUCUCAAAUCUUUUCUAGUAUGAAGAAGAGUAAAAAAUAAAUUUUAACCACUUUAUAAAAAUGUAUUGAUUAUCUUAUAUUUCAGAGUUUCGGUGAAACAAGAAAGGCAGUUUCUGCUCAGGUUAAUGUUUUAUCAGUUUCUCCAUUUCCACAUUCUAUUCUACAAUCAAACCAUUUCUUCAUGUCUAGGUGCCAUUCAUCUGGGAGAGACAAAGGUGUCUUGUGUAAUUCAGGAACCCACUUACGUGGUACUUUCCCAAAACAAUGAUAAAUCAGGAUGACCUAAAGAAGUAAGAAUGCAUAGCCUCAGUCCCUGUCUGUCUCCACACCUGGCCAUAGCUCUUCUAUCCAUUCACCAUACUGCUCUGCGGGUGUGAGCCGUGACUCCUCCCUGGAAGACUCAGCAUUAUGUAAUGUGUGCUUAAUCCCCUGAGAAAUUCUGCAGCUGUAGCGUUAGACCAAUAAUGUGAGGAAGAUGAGGUAUGAGUACUUGACCAUAACUUGCAACACUGAGGAUCAUAAAAUGACAUUUCUGACCCCUACUCUGUCUACAUUUUAAUGUUACCUUGCUAGCAAAUUGGCUUUAAUUAUUAUUACAAAAUUCUGGUGGACUGGCAUAUCAUCAUAAUGGUGAACCCUAGGUUCCUCCCGAUUGCCUUACCAUUUAAAAACACUUCAAACCUGCAGUACACUGAUCUGACAGUUUAUUUCCAUGAAUAUUACAUUUGCCAUUGAAGAGCAGAAGUUAUGGAAUUUGACUAACUUUACUGGGGCAAUAGAAACUCUGGAGCCCGUGGCACACCAAGACCUGCAGGUGUGCGGAUGCUAGAAAUAAGCACAACAUUUAUGAAUAAACUCAGCACUUUGGUCCUACUGUACACUGCCUGACACUGACUAAUAUUAUUAUUUAUUAUUAUUAGGAUGCGUAUAGGAUCCUAUUAUGUUGCUGUUACCUGUAAGAUCUUUAUUGUGGAAAAUGUUUUCCCCAGAUGAUCUUUCAGGUUUCAGAGGCAUGGACACAGAGCUGAAAGUGAGUGGCAGAGGUCAUAUCCCGGCAUCGGAUUCCUUGCCAGAGGGAAAAAAUGCCAUCCUCGAAGGCAGCUAUAGAAUCAUCAUCAUAUGGAAUUCUAGAUACAGGCCUGCAAAGAUGUCUAUACUUGUAUUCAAAGAUCUAGUAUUCCUCUUCCAUGGACCCUCAGAAGUAAGCCGAACCACUGUUUCCGGGCACACGCAUGUGUAAUUUCAUCUCACUUUGCUAGCUCAAAUCCCCACUGAGGAAGAAAGCCUCAAGUUCUAGUCGUGAACACCACCAACUUGCUGUGUUUUCCAGAGCGGAUCACCUUGUUUGUGUCCAUUUCUUUAUCUGGAGAAAUAGAGAGGCAUGACAGUUAUCUGCCUCCAAGCAUAGAUUUGUUUGCGUUUGUAAAGCACUUAUCAGUUGGAGUUUACAAUUCCACCAUAUUGGUCAAACCAGAUCCGAACAGCUACCUAACCAACUAUUUUCAUCUUGAUCUGCUCAUUUUGGCCAUCUAAAGCAGCACAAUCAAUUGGACCAACCAUUCUGAGAUACAAAUUGUCUGGUAAGAAAGCCAAAACACCAGAUUGGCUGCUUUUUUUAAUUGGUGUUUUUCACGAUAUGAAAAUAUUGGGUAAAAAUGGAAAAACUGAGUCAAAGAUCCAGAUGUUUGAUCUUUCUGUUGCCAAAUAGCCACACAUUUUGUAGCAUUCAUAUUUGCGGCUGAAUUUCUCAGCUUUCACCAGAAAGCCUGUCAUCAUAUAGAUAGAGCCUCAGAGGAGCUGUAAACACAAAACUGAUAUGGUCCCAAGAAAAAAGAAUCUCUUUUACCCAAGAUAACAGUUGCUUGUGUAUCUGCUGUUUUUUCUUAUUAGGCAGCUUCCUGGAAAGGAAGGGACAAGGGCCAUUGUUCAAAAUCCUAUAGUGUUCCCAGGUUUAUCUAGGCCUAAGUCUGCCUAGAAACGAGCAUACCUAUGUAAGCUGAUUAACAGCCACAAGAAGAGUUUCUCUUCUGAACUCAAUUAGCAAUUCAGAUGUAGACGCAAAAGCAUCGCUG